UGGGGAAUAUUGCACAAUGGGCGCAAGCCUGAUGCAGCCAUGCCGCGUGUGUGAAGAAGGCCUUCGGGUUGUAAAGCACUUUCAGCGGGGAGGAAGGCGAUAAGGUUAAUAACCUCAUCGAUUGACGUUACCCGCAGAAGAAGCACCGGCUAACUCCGUGCCAGCAGCCGCGGUAAUACGGAGGGUGCAAGCGUUAAUCGGAAUUACUGGGCGUAAAGCGCACGCAGGCGGUCUGUCAAGUCGGAUGUGAAAUCCCCGGGCUCAACCUGGGAACUACAUUCGAAACUGGCAGGCUAGAGUCUUGUAGAGGGGGGUAGAAUUCCAGGUGUAGCGGUGAAAUGCGUAGAGAUCUGGAGGAAUACCGGUGGCGAAGGCGGCCCCCUGGACAAAGACUGACGCUCAGGUGCGAAAGCGUGGGGAGCAAACAGG
rnacentral:rRNA from 1 species